GAGAAACUCUCUUCGGGCCGGCGAAGUAGUCCCCUCCUCGGGGGCGAAAUGCCGCGUGGCCCAGAAAUGAAACCGCCCCUGUGAACCGUCGUGGACCGCCCCGGCGGCGAUUCCGCGUCCUCCUACCAAACCAUCGAAGUCGAAGAUGUCGUCUAUCAUAACCUAACA
rnacentral:misc_RNA from 1 species